rnacentral:rRNA from 1 species
AUUGAACGCUGGCGGCAUGCUUUACACAUGCAAGUCGAACGGUAACAGGGAGCUUGCUCCGCUGACGAGUGGCGAACGGGUGAGUAAUGCGUCGGAACGUGCCGAGUAGUGGGGGAUAACGCAUCGAAAGGUGUGCUAAUACCGCAUACGAACUGAGGUUGAAAGUGGGGGACCUUCGGGCCUCACGCUAUCCGAGCGGCCGACGUCUGAUUAGCUAGUUGGUGAGGUAAAGGCUCACCAAGGCGACGAUCAGUAGCGGGUCUGAGAGGAUGAUCCGCCACACUGGGACUGAGACACGGCCCAGACUCCUACGGGAGGCAGCAGUGGGGAAUUUUGGACAAUGGGCGCAAGCCUGAUCCAGCCAUGCCGCGUGUCUGAAGAAGGCCUUCGGGUUGUAAAGGACUUUUGUCCGGGAGCAAAUGCUGGUGGCUAACAUCCACCGGAGCUGAGAGUACCGGAAGAAUAAGCACCGGCUAACUACGUGCCAGCCGCCGCCGUAACAC